rnacentral:lncRNA from 10 species
CUUUGCUUUCCAUAUCAGAUCAGAAAACAAACUGAGCUAGGCUACAUGACUCAUUCAGGACACACAGUGAGGAAGUUAGGAGCCUGAUGUUGACUCCUGUGUUCGUUUGCUCAGGCUGCCAACACCGACUGGGGGCUUCAAUAAUGGAAGCUUAUUUUCACACAGUUCUGGAGGCUGGAGUUCCAAGAUCAAGGUUUUGGCAGCAAACUCCAAUGUCAUCUCCUCCAUGAAGCCCUGGCUGCCACUCACAGAGAAGCAGGCUGAGUCCUGCACCAGGAUGCCUGGCUGAGGAGCAGAGUGGCAUAAAAGCAUUUGCUCUUUGUUUGCAGGCCGCUGGGCCCAGGAGGCUGGGUCUGUUCAGGUAAGCUCCUUCUAAUUUGCAUCAACACUCAUAAGGGGUAGGAUGGCCCUGCAGUGUUGCUAGAAGUGAUUUUUCUCUUCUGUUCGUUUCCAUAAAAUUUUAUGGUACCUCUCAUAUACCAUUCUGUGUUACUGGUAUUUUUGUAUUUGAAUUGUCUUCUUAUCUAGAAGGUGAGUUCUGAGAGUGCAGGGAUCUUAUCUUAUCUUCAUUCAUUCAUUCAUUCAUUCUUUCUUUCCUGCACUCACUCCAUAAAGACCAUUGAGAUUCCACUGUGUUUGUUCAAUUAAAGCUUGCUGAAAGAAUACCUCAGUGAAAUGCCCCCUGCCCAGGUAGCCUGUGCUCCUCCUGUAUCUUCUUCAUUCAAUCCUCCCUGCUCUUUCAUCCAGUUUACAGAAUCAGACCCUCCACACACUGGCUUUUAGAGCUAGGGUCAGGUGUGGGUGGCCAAGCAGCAUCUGAUAUGAGCAAAGGUGGCCCUGCUCUUCUCUGACCUCUUUACAGACCCCAAGUGCAUUCUUUGCCAAAGCC